rnacentral:snRNA from 13 species
CUCAUUUCUCAGCCUUUUUAGGUAAGAUCAAGUAUGGCAUCAGUUUAAUAUCUGAUACGUCCUCUAUCCAAGGACAAUAUAGUAAAUGGAUUUUUGGAGCAGGGAGAUGGAAUAGGAGCUUGCUCUGUCCACUCCACGCAUCAACCUGGUAUUGCAGUGCUUCCAGGAAUGGUGCACCCCUU